UGCAAGUCGAACGAGCGAGAGGAGGUUUACUUUCUCAAGCGAGUGGCGAACGGGUGAGUAACGCGUGAGGAACCUGCCUCAAAGAGGGGGACAACAGUUGGAAACGACUGCUAAUACCGCAUAAGCCCACGACCCGGCAUCGGGUAGAGGGAAAAGGAGCAAUCCGCUUUGAGAUGGCCUCGCGUCCGAUUAGCUGGUUGGUGAGGUAACGGCCCACCAAGGCGACGAUCGGUAGCCGGACUGAGAGGUUGAACGGCCACAUUGGGACUGAGACACGGCCCAGACUCCUACGGGAGGCAGCAGUGGGGAAUAUUGCACAAUGGGGGAAACCCUGAUGCAGCGACGCCGCGUGGAGGAAGAAGGUCUUCGGAUUGUAAACUCCUGUUGUUGAGGAAGAUAAUGACGGUACUCAACAAGGAAGUGACGGCUAACUACGUGCCAGCAGCCGCGGUAAAACGUAGGUCACAAGCGUUGUCCGGAAUUACUGGGUGUAAAGGGAGCGCAGGCGGGAAGACAAGUUGGAAGUGAAAUCCAUGGGCUCAACCCAUGAACUGCUUUCAAAACUGUUUUUCUUGAGUAGUGCAGAGGUAGGCGGAAUUCCCGGUGUAGCGGUGGAAUGCGUAGAUGUCGGGAGGAACACCAGUGGCGAAGGCGGCCUACUGGGCACCAACUGACGCUGAGGCUCGAAAGUGUGGGUAGCAAACAGGAUUAGAUACCCUGGUAGUCCACACUGUAAACGAUGAUUACUAGGUGUUGGAGGAUUGACCCCUUCAGUGCCGCAGUUAACACAAUAAGUAAUCCACCUGGGGAGUACGACCGCAAGGUUGAAACUCAAAGGAAUUGACGGGGGCCCGCACAAGCAGUGGAGUAUGUGGUUUAAUUCGACGCAACGCGAAGAACCUUACCAAGUCUUG
rnacentral:rRNA from 1 species